GAGCACCCAUUGUGACAUCCCCGGCGUUAUUCUUCAUUUGGAUACUGCUAAAUUAUACGAGGAAUCACGUCAUAUCAUCUGAUCGGGUGAACUAUGGCGCUGGCUCCGCUCUGGGCCCUUGGAAUGGUCCUAACUUUUCCCACCAUACGGCGCCCCUGAUCACUGGUGCCGAUAGGAUUGGCAGGGAAACAGCAAGAUGGCUUGCCGAGAAAAGAGUUAAUUGCCACAGAAGAACAACUAGACAUACUCAUCAACAAUGCAGGUGGUAUGAUGUGCCCCAAGUGGACCACUGAGGAUGGCUUUGACACACAGCUGUCUAUCAAUCACUUGGAACACUUUCUCAUGACCAAUUUACUAUUAGGGGUGCUUAAGAAAUCCUCUCCCAACUGUGUAGUGACUGUGUCCAGCAUUGCUCAUGUUAGCAGUCCUUUUGAUUAAAAAUAAGCAUGCCCAAAACACAAAAAAUACAAACCAGACAGAAUG